GAUGAAGUAAAGAUCUUGGGUGCCCGCGAGGGCAUAACAGGGAAGCCGGUGUAAGUCCGGCAUGGUCCCGCCACUGUGAUCAGGAACGACCUUUCAGAUGCCACUCGGUGAAGAGCCGGGGAAGGCGGAGGGUUAGAGGCUGAAGUCAGCCUCACCUGUCAAUCAGGAGACCUACCCAGGAUUGGUUUGUGAU
rnacentral:ncRNA from 2 species